GGUUAAGCGACUAAGCGUACACGGUGGAUGCCCUGGCAGUCAGAGGCGAUGAAGGGCGUGCUAAUCUGCGAUAAGCGCCGGUAAGGUGAUAUGAACCGUUAUAACCGGCGAUACCCGAAUGGGGAAACCCAGUGUGACUCGUCACACUAUCAUUAACUGAAUCCAUAGGUUAAUGAGGCGAACCGGGGGAACUGAAACAUCUAAGUACCCCGAGGAAAAGAAAUCAACCGAGAUUCCCCCAGUAGCGGCGAGCGAACGGGGAGGAGCCCAGAGCCUGAAUCAGCAUGUGUGUUAGUGGAAGCGUCUGGAAAGGCGCGCGAUACAGGGUGACAGCCCCGUACACAAAAGCGCAUGUGCUGUGAGCUCGAUGAGUAGGGCGGGACACGUGGUAUCCUGUCUGAAUAUGGGGGGACCAUCCUCCAAGGCUAAAUACUCCUGACUGACCGAUAGUGAACCAGUACCGUGAGGGAAAGGCGAAAAGA
rnacentral:rRNA from 1 species